rnacentral:rRNA from 1 species
GCGUGAGUGAUGAAGGCCUUAGGGUUGUAAAGCUCUUUUACCAGGGAUGAUAAUGACGGUACCGUAAGAAUAAGCACCGGCUAACUACGUGCCAGCAGCCGCGGUAAUACGGAGGGAGCUAGCGUUGUUCGGAAUUACUGGGCGUAAAGCGUACGUAGGCGGUUAUUCAAGUCAGAGGUGAAAGCCUGGAGCUCAACUCCAGAACUGCCUUUGAAACUAGAUAGCUAGAAUCUUGGAGAGGUGAGUGGAAUUCCGAGUGUAGAGGUGAAAUUCGU